rnacentral:lncRNA from 1 species
AGGAAGGCAUGCAGCUCUCGGUAAAGUAAGAGUUAUCUGAUUGAACAUGAGUAUUGUUGAGAUUAAACUUCAUGAGGGAUGAUGGAAGGGUCUGUUCCAGGGUUGCCUUAACUUUCACAAAAGGACAAGAUCAGGAGUGAAAAUUUGCACAGCAUUUGUCUUUUGACAUGUCAAGUUAUCCAUGUCCGUGGAGGCUCUGCAUUGAUCUGUUUAGCUCUGGAUCUGUCUUCUGUUGAAGAUCUGGAUCUGUUCCUUGUUGCUUUAACCUGAAAAGAAAUGGGAGGGGAGACAAAGACAACACCAACAACAAGAACAAGAACAACAAAAACUCUGAAGGCAAGAGGAAAGGACAAAGUUGCAAAUUUUCCUGCAGCUGCUUUGAUGAGAAAUUCUUCUCUCUCAACACCACCACUCACAAGUCGAGGUAUGUGUGUGUUUCUCUUUCUCUCAGAGGACUUAAAAAGUUCCUUGCAUGCCAUUAGGGGAGGAAUUAGACAUUGUUACAGUGGCAAGUUCAUAGCUUAACCUCGUUCUCAAAAUUGUCUUUAUCUGUUAAAUAAGUCCAGGACUCAGCUUUGUCUAGCUUGUAGCCCUUUUAAGAAUAUUUCACAAAAGAAGACCUUCUCAAUUCCAGUAACUGUGCAUAGAUUUUAUGUUCAAUGGGAGUCAACAUGCAGACGGUAAGGUUAAACCUAUGUUGAUCAGACCCAGAACAAUAUCUCUUUUAUUAUUUCAUCUGAAUAUCUGAUUAUCUGAUUCUCCUGGCUGGGUCACCAUAUUGUCAGAUGAAAUAAACUGAUGACUGAACCUCUGUAAGGGUCCUAU